GCACAAGCGGUGGAGCAUGUGGUUCAAUUCGACGCAACGCGCAGAACCUUACCAGCCCUUGACAUGUGACUCGCCGGUACGAGAGAUCGUACCUUCGGUUCGGCCGGAGUCAGCACAGGUGCUGCAUGGCUGUCGUCAGCUCGUGUCGUGAGAUGUUGGGUUAAGUCCCGCAACGAGCGCAACCCUCGUUCUAUGUUGCCAGCGAGUAAUGUCGGGGACUCAUAGGAGACUGCCGGGGUCAACUCGGAGGAAGGUGGGGAUGACGUCAAGUCAUCAUGCCCCUUAUAUCCAGGGCUGCACACAUGCUACAAUGGCCGGUACAAAGGGCUGCGACACCGCAAGGUGGAGCGAAUCCCAUAAAGCCGGUCUCAGUUCGGAUUGGGGUCUGCAACUCGACCCCAUGAAGUCGGAGUCGCUAGUAAUCGCAGAUCAGCAACGCUGCGGUGAAUACGUUCCCGGGC
rnacentral:rRNA from 1 species